GUAUAUAUAUAUAUAUGUGUGUGUGGGUGUGUAUAUAUAUAUUGAUGUCCCGUAUCUGCUGGUUUAGAAGGUGCGGUAAUUUUACCAACCUGUCCCACUGCGUUGAGCGUCGUUUGGGGCCUAGAUGGUAAGAGGCUGACUAGCCCGCUGGCUAACAAUUGUGUUUGUUCUGAUUUGCUGCACGUCUAAGGAGACAUGUUCUCACAGGGAAUAUUAUCAUUCGAUUGCAAAGGGGUGCGGGGAAUGUGCGUUUGAUGUAGAUACCCGAGAUACCGACGCAUUUGUGGAGGAAUGGAAAACUUCAAGUUAAAUUCCGAGAAAACCUGCCAAACUUCGCUGCAGUGAUACCUUUGAUGGCACGGUUGGAAUCAACUGCGAAACAAAUCAAGGUGGCCAACUUGUUGAGGCUGUUGAGGCUGACUUGGGGCUGAACUCGCCCACGAAAAACCAUCCUCUGUAUAACUCAAUCUUCUCUCACACCGCAAACGGGCAUACCCACAGGUAGACCCACGGGCAGUUUUAUCCGUUGGAGCCAUGAUCCGAUCCGAUCUUGGUU
rnacentral:sRNA from 1 species